UACGGGGGGGGCAAGCGUUGUUCGGAAUUACUGGGCGUAAAGGGCUCGUAGGCGGCCAACUAAGUCAUACGUGAAAUCCCUCGGCUUAACCCGGAAACUGCCAUUGAUACUAUUUAUCUUGAAUACUUUGGAGGUAAGCGGAAUAUGUCAUGUAGCGGUGAAAUGCUUAGAUAUGACAUAGAACACCAAUUGCGAAGGCAGCUUACUACACAGUUAUUGACACUGAGGCACGAAAGCGUGGGGAUCAAACAGG
rnacentral:rRNA from 1 species